rnacentral:rRNA from 1 species
UACCAGCACCCCGAGUGGUCGGGACGAUUAUUGGGCUUAAAGCAUCCGUAGCCGGUCAUGCAAGUCCUCCGUUAAAUCCACCUGCUUAACAGAUGGGCUGCGGAGGAUACUACAAGGCUAGGAGGCGGAAGAGGCAAGCGGUACUCAGUGGGUAGGGGUAAAAUCCUCUGAUCCAUUGAAGACCACCAGUGGCGAAGGCGGCUUGCCAAUACGCGCUCGACGGUGAGGGAUGAAAGCUGGGGGGAGCAAACCGG